AGGGUUUGAUUAUGGCUCAGGAUGAACGCUGGCGGCAUGCUUUACACAUGCAAGUUGAACGAAUUAAAGUUUUCGAAUUUUAGUUAAGUAGCGAACGGGUGAGUAAAACGUAAGAAUCUAUUUUUAGGUGAGGAAUAACUAAUGGAAACGUUAGCUAAUACCUUAUAAACUGAGAAGUGAAAAACUAAAAAUUGCCUAAAAGUGAGCUUGCGCCUGAUCAGCCUGUGUGGUAAGAAUAAUCGGCUUACCAAAGCGACGAUCAGUAUGUUGAUCUAAGAGGAUAAUCAACCACACUGGGACUGAGAUACCGGCCCAGACCUCUACGGAGGGCAGCAGUGAGGAAUUUUCCGCAAUGGGCGAAAGCCUGACGGAGCAGUGCCGCGCGAAGGAUGAAGGCCUAUGGGUCGUAAACUUCUUUUCUUAAUGAAGAAAAUAAGAUGGUAAUUAAGGAAUAAGCAUCGGCUAACUCCGUGCCAGCAGCCGCGGUAAUACGGAGGAUGCAAGCGUUAUCCGGAAUUGUUGGGCGUAAAGGGUUUGUAGGCUACUUUUUGAGUCUUCUGUUAAAGAAUAAGACUUAACCUUAGAAAAGCAGUAUGAAACUAAAAGGAUAGAGUUCAGUAGGGGUAGAGGGAAUUCUCGGUGUAGUAGUGAAAUGCGUAGAUAUCGAGAGGAACACCAAUAGCGAAAGCACUCUACUAGGCUGUAACUGACGCUAAGAAACGAAAGCUAGGGGAGCCAAUGGGAUUAGAUACCCCAGUAGUCCUAGCUGUAAACGAUGGAUACUAAGUAUUGGAUAAUAAAAAAUUCAGUGCUGUAGCUAACGCGUUAAGUAUCCCGCCUGGGGAGUAUGCCCGCAAGGGUGAAACUCAAAGGAAUUGACGGGGGCCCGCACAAGCGGUGGAGCAUGUGGUUUAAUUCGAUGCAACGCGAAAAACCUUACCAGGAUUUGACAUCCCAUAUUUUUUUUUUCUAGAAAUAGAAAAAUUGACGUGGAGACAGGUGGUGCAUGGCUGUCGUCAGCUCGUGUCGUGAGAUGUUGGGUUAAGUCCCGUAACGAGCGCAACCCUUGUUCUUUAGUUCGAUAGUCUAAAGAAACUGCCGAUAAUAAAUCCGAGGAAGGUGAGGAAUGACGUCAAGUCAGCAUGCCCCUUAUAUUUCCUGGGCGACACACGUGCUACAAUGGUUAAGACAAUGGGAUGCAAACUUGUAAAAGGAAGUCUAACCUCAAAAACGUAAUCCAGAGGUUCGAAUUGUCGCACUGUAGAAACUCGUCUGUACAUGAAGCUGGAAUCGCUAGUAAUCGCCGGUCAGCCACACGGCGGUGAAUACGUUCUCGGGCCUUGUACACACCGCCCGUCACGAUAGGGAAGCUGAUUACGCCCGAAGUCAUUAAUUUAACCUUUUGGAGAAAAAUGCCGAAGGCAGAGUGAGUAACUAGAACGAAGUCGUAACAAGGUAGCC
rnacentral:rRNA from 1 species